CGACGGUGAGUAACACGUAUCCAACCUGCCGUCUACUCUUGGACAGCCUUCUGAAAGGAAGAUAAUACAAGAUGGCAUCAUGAGUUCACAUGUUCACAUGAUUAAAGGUAUUCCGGUAGACGAUGGGGAUGCGUUCCAUUAGAUAGUAGGCGGGGUAACGGCCCACCUAGUCUUCGAUGGAUAGGGGUUCUGAGAGGAAGGUCCCCCACAUUGGAACUGAGACACGGUCCAA
rnacentral:rRNA from 1 species